UGCGUCUUCAUCAAUUCCGUACAGGUCCACGACCUCUAAUAACAGCUUUGUAUCGCUGGCGACAGGUCUCAGGAGAGAGAGAACUCCAUGGUGCCGCCACACUGGGUCUAGCUGCUGUGCAUGCAACGGCGGGAAGAUCGUGCGCAGGAAGGACAGAGUCUGGGCUGUGGAACUGCAGGACCUGCCAUCAGGCUGACCCACAUCCUGAGAUGGGAGGUUGGACCCGGAA